rnacentral:rRNA from 1 species
GACGGAGGCUGCAAGUGUUCUCCGGAAUCACUGGGCGUAAAGCGUCUGUAGGUGGUUUCCAAAGUCCACUGUUAAAGAUUGAAGCUUAACUUCAAAAAUGCCGUGGAAACUUUGAAACUUGAGUAUGAUAGGGGUAGAGGGAAUUUCCAGUGGAGCGGUGAAAUGCGUAGAUAUUGGAAAGACCACCAAUGGCGAAGGCACUCUACUGGGCCAUUACUGACACUGAGAGACGAAAGCUAGGGGAGCAAAUGGG